AGAGAAGAAAUAAUAAACAUCUGAGUUCGAAGAUAAACUCUGUGUCUCCUGCGUUUCAAUCCAAACUCUGAGUAAAAGAAGCAAGAGACUGAGGCAAAGAAAAUACAAAUCAGAGAAAAUUUAUACUACAGUGCCAGGUACAAGCCUCUUCUUUAUCGUGCCAGGUUCAAAAAUGUUGGCACCUCGGGGAGAAGGGGCUUCCAGGUUGGGUUUCAGCUGAGGACACAGCAUCUCAUCUGCUCACAGAGGGGCUUUGCUGUGUCCUGUCUCUAUGUACACAUAUUAUGUGUAUGUUCUGGUUUGGGAUUAGACAUGUGCCCUAGGUUCCUGCACAGUUGGUGUGCCUCAGAGUUAAACACUUUUUGUUACGAAAUCCAGGUAAUUGGAUGGCUUCAACACCAAGCAGACAGCUGUGUAUUUAAAUGUGACCUUAUACCCAGUCAGUCUCGUACCCUGCAUUUUGAAUAUGGUAUUUAGGUAAAUGCUGCGCUGAGCCUGAGGAAUUGUUAAAACUGACACCACAAGGGUAUGCUAAUGCAAUUAGAUGACUUGCAGUGUUGAGAUUUGGCCUUUGUUUGGGCUCAGUUGCAGUUUAACCAGAUGCAAAAAUAUGUAGACAGUAACUUGUACACUAUUGAAACCAGCCUAGCCGGGCAAAGGUGAGAGCCACAUGUCAAAGGUGGUGCUACAGACAGCUGCCACAAGAUCUUCCACUGACACUUGAUAUUGCCAGUUGAGAGGAAGCUUCAAAGCAGUGAGUACCAUCUGGACAUGUCCCUGGGAACUUGGGAUCUGUUGUUAUGGGUGGGGGGAUUUAUCACUAGCAGAAGGUUGUUCACGGCAUAUUGAGGUUAUCUUGACACAGGAGGAGAGGCUCCAAACACCCAACAUUUAUGCAGCCGCAGUGAAUCAGAGCUGCUUUGCCCUUUCCCUGCUUGGAGGUGCUGCGUAGAUGCCAAGUCUCAUUCAUGAAUGAUGCAAGGAUUUGGAAAGCAGGACAAUGAGUAGAGGUGGUGUCCUGCCAGUAAUUGCUGGAAGCAGAGGGGAAGGGCGCUGUAAGAUAUUGGCACAUGGAGCGCAGAGAUAUUCCUGCUCUGGCUGACAGUUCCUAAUAAAGAUAUUUUCAUUGUAAUUGAAAAUUUUCUCAUGAUCCAAUUUCCUGUUCCUAUCAGCAUUGGUUUAUCCUCAUUUCAAGCAUGAUUCUGCUGAAAAACACUCUGUCCAGUGGGCCAGGGUAUCUAUUGGUAUUGCUUCCGACUCGACAGUCAACAAUUAUCUGGGAAACAAGCGUGAGCAGCACAAAAGAAAGAGGGAAAAACAAAUCCUGUGUAUGAGUGUGCAGGUGUUGUGCUUGUAUGCUCAGUUCUUAACAACAGUGGAAAUAAUCUCAGAGUUGCUUGCAAACUGUUACAUUCAGAUGACAAAUGAACUUUUUUGUUUACCACUGCUGUCUUUUCUUCUUUGAAUGGUUAAAUAAAUUGCCAUGAGGUAUUUUCAUUUAGUAUGGAUCCAGAUCCUUUUGGAUCAUGUUCAUAUAAUUUACUCACUGCAUUUCUAUCUAUUGCAUCAGUCAUCCUGUAAUUCUCAUAUGAAUUAAUAUGAUUUUUUUUAUU